rnacentral:tRNA from 3 species
GCGCGAGUGCUGGAACUGGCAGACAGGCACGUUUGAGGUGCGUGUGCCUUUGGCGUACGGGUUCAAGUCCCGUCUCGCGCACCA